UGAGAAAUACGGCAUUUCCUGUUAGACUUUGUGACUCAGGCAGUGAUGUUGAAGCUGAGAGCAGAUGCCUAAAAGAAAAGGAGGACUUGUGCGGGAGAGUGUUGGGACAGGGCAAGGGAGGAGUAGGGCCUGUCAGAGGAGCUGAAAGAAUGCCCUGGAGACUGGGGCCGCGUAGGGACUGUAGGAGAAAAGUAGAGAGUCGUGUAAGCAGAGCACGCCUUUCCUUGACUCUCUGUCGAGAGCUUUUGUGAUUCCAGCUGCUCUCUGCCUCAGACACGGUGCCCUCUGCGUGUGCAGUCAUCUAAAGAGUGCAGGGUGUGGGACCGUGGAGAAUCCAAGGCAGUAUAGUCAUGCUUUGCUUAACGGUGGGGAUAAGUUCUGAGGAGUGUGUCAUGGUCAGGCAAUCUCGAGACUGUGCAAACCCCACGGAGUUCCUAAACCUGGAUGGCAGAGCCUCCUACACACCUAGGCCAUAUGGGACUAAUCUGAUGGGACCCCCGUUGUUGACUGAACGUCCCGCUGUAGGGCAUGACUGUACUUCCCAACUCCAGGGCGCGGAAGUGUAGCCUGUGGGGCUUUGGAAAAGAACAGAGACGCUCAAGGCCUACUCUGGACCCACUGACUCAGAAUCUACUGGGAUAGUUCCCGGCCUUAAAGACCAGACGUAGUCCUCCUCUGCAGACAUCUCAUCAACGGUUUUUCACGCUGGGUUUUCCCUCCUCUGAGAAAACAGGCCAAGAGAUUGUGAGGAUCCAUAAUUAGUGUUUUAAUACAUUUGGCAGGACUCAGUGUUUUUCACGUUCUGUGAUACUGGGAUCUGCAUCUCCACUGGAAUGUGUUAAACCUUGAAAUCUUGUCCAAAGGUCAUGUCAUUACCUAGAGAAUCCUUCUGUGAAUUCCAGGCAGAUUGCCAUCUUUCUGCUCCCGCCUCCUCACCUUUACAAUGGGGAGAAUAACGGUAACCUACCUUUUGGAUGUGAGGAUUAAACGAGACAGUUGGUGCAAAGCAGUCGGCACAGGAUCUGGCACAAAGUGAAGCCUUCAAGAAAUUAUGAUGACAGUAGUUUUUGAUUUCCCUCCAGUCGGAAUAUAGUUGAGUUGAAGUUAGUGGCUGUGUCACAGCUGUGUCUCAGGCUGGUGUCUGCCGCCCCUGAGCUAAGCCGUAAAAAUCCCUAGAAUAACUUUUCAA
rnacentral:lncRNA from 1 species